UGUGGCAAAAGGUCGCAAAGUUCAAGGGGGCCGAAUACUUUCGCAAGGCACUGUAAUUAUAUACAAGAGACAGAAUUAACAAAUUACACAGCAUGACAGCAGACAUGUCAAGUGUUCAACUAAUAAUGAUUCAAUAAUCGAUGCCUUUUGGGAACGCGAGAAAGUUCCGAAGUUGUGGGCGGAGCUAGAAAGUUGUCAGAAGUAUAACAAUAUAAACGUAAUUUAUUUCCAUCGGACUGCAUAUUUCAAGACAACAUAUGGUGGUGUAGUGAGAUACCCAAUGGGCUGGACGGUUCUCUUCUCAUCACUCAUUUAGAUAAAAUUCAACUAGGGAUGGAGGUGUGACCAGGCACUAGGGAUGGAGGUGUGACCAGGCACUAGGGAUGGAGGUGUGACCAGGCACUAGGGAUAGGGUGUGACCAGGCACUAGGGAUAGGGUGUGACCAGGCACUAGGGAUGGAGGUGUGACCAGGCACUAGGGAUGGAGGUGUGACCAGGCACUAGGGAUAGGGUGUGACCAGGCACUAGGGAUGGAGGUGUGACCAGGCACUAGGGAUAGGGUGUGACCAGGCACUAGGGAUGGAGGUGUGACCAGGCACUAGGGAUAGGGUGUGACCAGGCACUAGGGAUAGGGUGUGAGCAGGCACUAGGGAUGGAGGUGUGACCAGGCACUAGGGAUGGAGGUGUGACCAGGCACUAGGGAUAGGGUGUGACCAGGCACUAGGGAUAGGGUGUGAGCAGGCACUAGGGAUGGAGGUGUGACCAGGCACUAGGGAUGGAGGUGUGACCAGGCACUAGGGAUAGGGUGUGACCAGGCACUAGGGAUAGGGUGUGACCAGGCACUAGGGAUAGGGUGUGACCAGGCACUAGGGAUGGAGGUGUGACCAGGCACUAGGGAUGGAGGUGUGACCAGGCACUAGGGAUAGGGUGUGACCAGGCACUAGGGAUGGAGGUGUGACCAGGCACUAGGGAUGGAGGUGUGACCAGGCACUAGGGAUGGAGGUGUGACCAGGCACUAGGGAUAGGGUGUGACCAGGCACUAGGGAUGGAGGUGUGACCAGGCACUAGGGAUGGAGGUGUGACCAGGCACUAGGGAUAGGGUGUGACCAGGCACUAGGGAUGGAGGUGUGACCAGGCACUAGGGAUAGGGUGUGACCAGGCACUAGGGAUGGAGGUGUGACCAGGCACUAGGGAUAGGGUGUGACCAGGCACUAGGGAUGGAGGUGUGACCAGGCACUAGGGAUGGAGGUGUGACCAGGCACUAGGGAUGGAGGUGUGACCAGGCACUAGGGAUGGAGGUGUGACCAGGGUACGAGGGAUGGAGGUGUGACCAGGCACUAGGGAUGGAGGUGUGACCAGGCACUAGGGAUGGAGGUGUGACCAGGCACUAGGGAUGGAGGUGUGACCAGGCACUAGGGAUGGAGGUGUGACCAGGGUACGAGGGAUGGAGGUGUGACCAGGCACUAGGGAUGGAGGUGUGACCAGGCACUAGGGAUGGAGGUGUGACCAGGCACUAGGGAUGGAGGUGUGACCAGGCACUAGGGAUAGGGUGUGACCAGGCACUAGGGAUGGAGGUGUGACCAGGCACUAGGGAUGGAGGUGUGACCAGGCACUAGGGAUGGAGGUGUGACCAGGCACUAGGGAUGGAGGUGUGACCAGGCACUAGGGAUGGAGGUGUGACCAGGCACUAGGGAUGGAGGUGUGACCAGGCACUAGGGAUAGGGUGUGACCAGGCACUAGGGAUGGAGGUGUGACCAGGCACUAGGGAUGGAGGUGUGACCAGGCACUAGGGAUGAAGGUGUGACCAGGCACUAGGGAUGGAGGUGUGACCAGGCACUAGGGAUGAAGGUGUGACCAGGCACUAGGGAUGGAGGUGUGACCAGGCACUAGGGAUGGAGGUGUGACCAGGCACUAGGGAUAGGGUGUGACCAGGCACUAGGGAUGGAGGUGUGACCAGGCACUAGGGAUAGGGUGUGACCAGGCACUAGGGAUAGGGUGUGAGCAGGCACUAGGGAUGGAGGUGUGACCAGGCACUAGGGAUGGAGGUGUGACCAGGCACUAGGGAUGGAGGUGUGACCAGGCACUAGGGAUGGAGGUGUGACCAGGCACUAGGGAUGGAGGUGUGACCAGGCACUAGGGAUAGGGUGUGACCAGGCACUAGGGAUGGAGGUGUGACCAGGCACUAGGGAUGGAGGUGUGACCAGGCACUAGGGAUGGAGGUGUGACCAGGCACUAGGGAUGGAGGUGUGACCAGGCACUAGGGAUGGAGGUGUGACCAGGCACUAGGGAUGGAGGUGUGACCAGGCACUAGGGAUGGAGGUGUGACCAGGCACUAGGGAUGGAGGUGUGAUGUAUACAUUUGUUUUUGUAAUGUAAAAAAACAUCUGUAGGUGCAGUAUACGAAUUGUAGUGGGUCCAUGGUGUUUGGGAUGAUGGUGUUGAUGUGAGCCAUGACCAGCCUUUCAAAGCAUUUCAUGGCUACAGACAUGAGUGCUACGGGGCUAUAGUCAUUCAGACUGAGAUCUAAUUGGGUCAGUGAAGGUGUAAAUGAGGAGAUGAUGCGUUGUGAUUGGUUCUUGUGU